rnacentral:rRNA from 1 species
UGAUCCAGUCAUCCCGCGUGCAGGAUGACUGCCCUAUGGGUUGAAAACUGCUUUGAUUUGGGAAGACACCUGUUCAUUUACUGAGCAGUUGACGGUAUCUUAUGAAUAAGCACCGGCUAAUUCCGUGCCAGCAGGGGCGGUAGUACGGAGUGGUGCUAGCGUUAUCCGGAAUCAGUGGGUUUAGAGGGAGCGUAGGCGGCAUGAUAAGUCAGAGGUGAAAGGCUGUAGCUUAAGUGUGGAAUUGGCUUUGAUACUGUUGUGCUUGAAUCGAGUAGAGGUCAGCAGAAUGUGACAUGUACACGGUGAAAUGCAUAGAUAUGUCAUAGGAUACCACUUUGUGAAGACAGCUGGCUGGACUUGUAUCGACACUGAGGCUCGCAAGCGUGGGGAGCUUACAGGAUUAGAUACCCUGGUAGUCUACGCCCUGUUCGAUGUUUACUCGAUUUUGGCUUUUGAAGUCAGCGUCCAAGGGACACCAUCUAAGUAAACCACCUGGGGAGUACGUCGGCCUCGAUGAUACUCAUAGGAAUUGACGAGGGUCCAGCACAAGCGGUGGAGCAUGUGGUUUAAUUCGAUGAUACGCGAGGAACAUCACCUGGGCUCGAAUGGUACCGGACCAUUCCUGAAAAGGAUUCUUCCGUCGGGACUGGUAUCAAGGUGAUGCAUGGCAGUCGUCAGCUCGUGUCGUGAGGUGUUGGGUUAAGUCCCGCAACGAGCGCAACCCCUACUUUCAGUUGCCAGCACAUAAUGAUGGGGACUCUGGAAAGACUGCCGGCGUAAGCCCCGAGGAAGAUGGGGAUGACGUCAGCUCAUCAUGGCAGGCAUGCCCAGGGCUACACACGUGCUACAAU